UACAGAGGUCUCAACCGUUGUUCGGAUUCAUUGGGCGUAAAGGGUGCGUAGGCGGUCGUGCAAGUCGGAUGUGAAAUCUCAGGGCUCAACCCUGAAACUGCAUUCGAUACUGCGCGGCUAGAGUGCUGGAGGGGAGACUGGAAUUCUCGGUGUAGCGGUGAAAUGCGUAGAUAUCGUCUGGAACGCCAAAGGUGAAAACAGACUGCUGGGAGUGUGCUGACGCUGAGACACGAAAGCCAGGGGAGCAAACAGG
rnacentral:rRNA from 1 species